AAGUUUAUUUGGGGGUGUAUGUCGACUUUAAUAACGCAUGACAUACAAUUUGGAGUAGACAUUUGACCCUUCAAAACUGUCUAAUCCCGAAUUAGGCUGCACCUUUCAAUCAAAUCAAAUCGUCCUUCUUGAUCUUUGUUCUAUCAUGAUAAACUUUGCCUGACUAAAGUCAUUCCUUCUAGGAUUUUCUCAAUUGCCUUCUCUGAUUUCGAUUGUCUCAUUCAUCGUUGUCUUAUGGCGCCCCUGGGGGUUUUCACCAAUAAG
rnacentral:lncRNA from 1 species